rnacentral:tRNA from 1 species
CGGGAGGUAGCGAAGCUUGGCUUAUCGCACCUGCUUUGGGAGCAGGGGAUCGUGGGUUCAAAUCCCACCCUCCCGACCA